ensembl:lincRNA 4933438A12Rik uncharacterized LOC110334576
GGAGCGGGAAAAGCCAACCAGCCAGGUGAGAUCUCAGGCAGAGCUGUCAUAGGCAGUUUCUACAGAUAUACUUCCAAGGACCUCUUGGACAAUUUUGGCUAAAUGUUUUUAACCCAUCCCUGUCUUGCUCAGCCAUCAUCAGAAAAGCUUCCUCCAGCAGUAGUUAGGAAUAAAUACAGAGAGCCACAGCCAAAUAAUAUGCAGAGAGUGAGAGAUCUUGGAACACUCAGCCAUAAAAGGGAUAGCUCCAUCAAAUCCUGCUCCUCUGAGCUCAGGGAACUCUAUGGAAGAGGGAGCAGAAAGAGUGUAAGAGGCAGAGGGGGUGAAUGGACCCCAGAGACUCAAGACCUAGAGAUGCCAUGGCUGGCACACAUGUGAGCUCACAGAGACUGACCAGCAUGUACAGGGCCUCUGUGAGUCUGCAUCAGGUGACGCCCUAGAGCCGGAAGGAGAAGACAUACGCCCCGUCCUUCACCAAGAAGCUAUCUCCAAUCCAUAGCUACUCCCAAAUGAAAAGUUAAUUUUCUCCAAGAGAGUCUCACUGUAGUUACAAACUACUUUUAAGGGUCAGACCCCAUGUCCAGUAGCAGAUGGCCAACACAAAAUAAAUUCAGUGGCAUCUUUGGAGGGUUUUCUUGUCUCAUAAUGUUAAGCUCAGACAUUAUUUUUUUCCCUACCAUUUAAGUCCGUUGUGUAUACAUUAUGGCUUCUGGUUUUUACAGGAUUCUUGUGUGUGCAAAUGUGGAUGUCUCUGCACCUACAUGUAUUUUUUUGCAUUUUUUAUUUGGCUCUUUUUCUUGUCUGUUUUUUAUAUUCUUAUUUUUUCAUUUUUAGUUCUUUGUUUUCAACUUAUUCUUUAGAUGCCUGUUUUAUUUUUUCCUAAGAGAGACAGAAAGGGUGUGAGUCUGGAUGGGAGUUGGUGGUGGGGAGAAACGUGAAGGAUUAGGGGAAGGAUACAGUGUAUAAAAUGUUGUAUUUUCAAAAAUAACAAAAU